UACGGGGGGGGCAAGCGUUGUUCGGAAUUACUGGGCGUAAAGGGCUCGUAGGCGGCCAACUAAGUCGGACGUGAAAUCCCUCGGCUUAACCGGGGAACUGCGUCCGAUACUGGAUGGCUUGAGGUUGGGAGAGGGAUGCGGAAUUCCAGGUGUAGCGGUGAAAUGCGUAGAUAUCUGGAGGAACACCGGUGGCGAAGGCGGCAUCCUGGACCAAAUCUGACGCUGAGGAGCGAAAGCCAGGGGAGCAAACGGG
rnacentral:rRNA from 1 species